rnacentral:rRNA from 1 species
AUUGAACGCUGGCGGCAGGCCUAACACAUGCAAGUCGAGCGGAUGAAGGUAGCUUGCUAUCUGAUUCAGCGGCGGACGGGUGAGUAAUGCCUAGGAAUCUGCCUGGUAGUGGGGGACAACGUUUCGAAAGGAACGCUAAUACCGCAUACGUCCUACGGGAGAAAGUGGGGGAUCUUCGGACCUCACGCUAUCAGAUGAGCCUAGGUACGAUUAGCUAGUUGGUGAGGUAAAGGCUCACCAAGGCGACGAUCGUUAACUGGUCUGAGAGGAUGAUCAGUCACACUGGAACUGAGACACGGUCCAGAGUCCUACGGGAGGCAGCAGUGGGGAAUAUUGGACAAUGGGCGAAAGCCUGAUUCAGCCAUGCCGCGUGUGUGAAGAAGGUCUUCGGAUUGUAAAGCACUUUAAGUUGGGAGGAAGGGCAGUGAGUUAAUACCUUGCUGUUUUGACGUUAUCAACAGAAUAAGCACCGGCUAACUUCGUGCCAGCCGCCGCCGUAAGAC